ensembl:lincRNA Gm20342 predicted gene, 20342
GAGUGCUGCCCACUGAUCAGCUAGACACUUUAAUGUAUGUGUUAUUUUAUUCUCUCUUCUGUUUGGUUUGGCUUGAGUCAGUCCUACUAUGUAGUAGCCCUGGCUGGUCUGGAACUCACUGUGUAGACCAGGAUGGCCUUGAAUUCACAAAGAUCCCCUUGCUUCUACCUCCUGGGUGCUGGAAUUAAAGGUGUAUACCACUAUAUCCCCCCACCCCUUUGAAGUUGUUGUUUUGUUUGAGGAAGCAUCUUGUCUGGAGUCCAGGCUGGCCUUGAACUCCCUAUGAGGCCCAAAAUAGUCUUGAAUUCAAAAUCCUUUAUCCUUCUUCUAUAGCCUCUGAAGUGUUAUAUGCACCAUGACAUCUUGUUAGUUCUACCUUUUGCUACUAGUGAUUUUAGUAUUGUAAAAACUGAGUACUUCACUGGGUGUGGUGGCACACGCCUUUAAUCCCAGCCCUCAGGAGGCAGAGGCAGGCAGAUUUCUGAGUUUAAGGCCAGCCUGGUCUACAGAGUGAGUUUCAGGACAGCCAGGGCUGCAGAAAAACCCUGUCUCCAAAAAACCAAAAAACCAAAAAAAAAAAAAAACAGAGUACUUCAUUGUGAAACUUCAUUGUGAAAAUUAUAGUGACGUUAUUAAGAAAAUGACAACUAUAUUCUGUCCUUAAAAGGUCUCUUUUAAACAGUAGUGUAUAUGUAUGGAAAUGUAACAAUACCCAUUAUUUUGUAUGCUAGCUAAAAAAUUAAUUUAAAAAAAAUCUUAUUUAGACAUUGUAGAUUUAAAGUAAAAGAUUCAUGUGUGAUUAAUGUAUUAGAAUCUGUCAAUAAGUAAAAGAGCCAUUCUUGGCAAAUAGUUGCUGACAAAAUCACCAUUUUUUUUUUCUUUAAAGAAAGAAAGAAAGCACUGACAAUAGAAAUUGUUAUUCAGGGUUACUAAGAUUUUUGUCUUGCAGGAACUUGUUUUGGGGGUUGUUUGUGUUUUCUUUCCUGAGAUGGUGUCUCAAGAACCCUAGGCUAGCCUCAACCUAUAUUUAGCUGGUCCUCCUUUCUCUACCUCUGAAGUGCUAGGGUCAUAGAUGUAUAACACCAUAGCUCUGUCUUUUUACUUCUAGACACACAGGUUGACCAGAUGUGUGGUCUGGACUCCCCUCUCCCCCUUCCAUUGUGAGGUACCAUAUUCAGCAUAUUCCAACACUUCUAAAAGCAGACUCCAUACCAAACAGACCAUGGUAGCUAAUGCCUGUGCUCUCAGUCAUAGGAGGCUGAAGCAGGAGGAUGGACAGUUCCAGAGACCUUGGUUGAAUGGAUGAAUGGGUAUCGUCCAAGCACAGAGUUGCAGUUACUACAGAGGCUAGGCAGCAUAUGUGCCAAGCCCCGUGCUGGCUGCUAUGGUGCACCACACAGACCUGAAGUCCAUGUACGUUCUGGCUCUAUGUGGUAAUCUCCCCACCAUGACUGGAGGUAAGGGGCUGUGCCUAUCAAUCUCCACUGUACCCCACCCAGCCUAGACAGCUAACCUUAAAAGCCCGGAAGAUGGCAGGUAGGUGUGUGCCUAAAUUCUACAUUAACAUGACCAUAGACACUUUCAGUCUAAACCUUACUGUUUUAGAAAUGGCCAUUUAUAGUGUUUCAAAGAUUUGGGUUUUAUUGUGGUUACUGGGUCUUGAAAGAAACUGUUCCUGAGGUAAGCACCGAAUGAAGCAGGCAUGUGAUCGCUUUAGAUUAUUUCAGUGUGAAAUUUCUGUAAAAAAAAAUACACAAGUUUAAGGUAGGCAUGGUGGCACACAUCUUUAAUCCCAACAACUGAGUAGGCAGAGGGAGACGGAUCUCUUCAAGUUCAAGGCUAGCCUGGUUUAUAUUCAGGAGUGCUCACUCUAGAUAGGUAGGAGGUAGGGAAGUAGGUAGGUAGGUAGGUAUCUCUGAUUCAAAUGUAGUCAAAUAUAGGCAAUCUGAAUUCUAACUUAUCCACAACUACUCAGACCUGAGAACUGUUACCUGAUCUUAUGCUAAAUAAGAAGGGAGUCUGUCUGAGAGUUGCUGAGAGGGCUGCUGGUUUGUCUGUCUUAAGUCUCCUCAAAGCCCAGCAGGAGCCCUUCCAGAACUAGGUGGUCAGUGGCUGUGCUGGAGGAGGCCCCUUUCAGGCUACAGGCAGAGAAUGACAGUGUCACAUUGGGGGACAUUAUUCCUCCUGAUGUUAAGAAAAUAACUCUCCAACAGAAGUCACAUCUUAAGUGAUAAUUGGGUGGGUUGUUUUGUUUUGUUUAAUUAAAGCUUCAAAGCAAGAUUAAAGAUUGAAUUUAGGUAGAAUUAGCAUUAAUAGUCAAUCUUUUCUGUAAUUUAUAACAAGAAAAAAAAAGUGUCCCCAAAGUUAUGGUUAGAUUAGUUAAAUAUUGUAGUAAGGAGAGAAAUCCAUGGAGACCUCAGGAUAAUAAGCAGGGGUUAGCAGAAAGGUGACACUGUUCAUUUCUGUGACAUUUCUGGCUAAACAAGCUUUUGUAGACCCGCUGGGAAUGUAACCACUAUUUCCAUGGGAAAAUAAAUUCCAGGUUCCAGACAAGUAAUUUAGAGAGAGAUGUUGUGGAACACAGCCACUAAUAAGUUUAGACUUGUGUGCUCCAGAGGCCCCAUCGCACCAUUGUGAUAGAUAGCCAGAGUUCAGCAGUAAGGGGAAAUGGGGUAAAUCGACUCUUACAGAUAAAAUGAAGAUUAACUAUGAUCAUAGCUCAGAAGAGAAGACUGUCAAAGACCGAAACCACCAUAGCACAGAAGAAAGGGGAACCCCAGUGACUCAGAUCAGACUGUCCCCCUUACUCUGUAUGUAGUGCUGCUCCUAGGUGUCACAUGAUAUAAUAGAUAUUUGUGCUUUGUUUUAUUCUGUUUGUUUUGUUCUAGUAAGAGAGACAAGGCCUCAGACUAGCCUGGAAUUAACACUGUAAACCAGACUGGCCUGGAAACUGUGGCAGUCCUUCAGUCCCAGACUCCCAAGUGUUAGGAUUGCAGGCAUUCAUUAGCCAUCAUGUCUGGCUUUAUUUUAGACUUAGAACCAGAAGGAGGAACAGUGCAGUGGCUCACUUGCUGCACUACCCUGGCAACCUGGUUCAAUCCCUGGCCCCCAGAUAAAGGUGAUAGGAGAGGUCUGACUGCACCAAGCUGCCCUCUGACCCUCACAUGUGCAUGCACCGUGGAACUCAGGCCUCUACGCUGCCACACGAUAACGAAUAAUUCUCUAAUCAGAAUAGGAAAGUGAUGAGGCCAGAGCCUUCUGUUUGCCUGCUACUCUACUGCCUCUUGUUGUGCCUCCAUUUCUGACUUAAGGUGACAGGGCAGAGCGUUGCCCAGCAUACCCAAGGCCUAGAGUUUGGUCCCCAGCCCUAGUUUAAAAAAGGCUUAAUAUAGUGUGUCUGCAUGUGCUUCUGGACUAGAUCAAAAACAGUGACAGGAAACACUGCUGCUAUGUUGAUAAAAUGUGUGGCAUCACCACACAUGAGAUAGAUACACACACACACACACACACACACACACACACACACACACAGUUGCUGGCAGCACUAAAUACAUCCAUGGGAACUUGUUGGCUAAUCAGGAUAUGUCCCACCUAGAACAUCUCGUCAAAAUGUAGUGUGACCAUGCUAUUAUAUUAAGAUCACCCUGUAAAAUAGACAUGAAGGAGCUGACAAGAUGCAUGGAAUCAUGGGGGCGGGAGAUGGAAUGCAAAGGUUUUUUUUCUUGUGGAAAAUCAAAAUAAAUAGGUGUUGUGUGUUGUAGUUUAACUGUGAAAUGCCACACCCUAUCUUACACUGGCCUUUUUUGCCCACUGAUGACCUUGUAGGAAGUGAUUAGAUGAUAAGGCUUCAGGAUUUGUAGAUGGAUUGAUCCACUGAUAGUUGAUCGUCUGAUGGCAUUGUUGAGUUCUGGUUGGAAGAAGUGGGCCACUGAUGUGUGCCUUUGAGAAAUGUAUCUUGUUCCCAGCAGUGCUUCUAGGUUCCUGCUUCCUGGUUGCCUGGAGGUGAGCAGCUUUACUCCUGUAUACUCAUCUGCCAUGAUGCUCUGUCUCACCAUGACCUAGAAACCUCUGACACAGUGAGCCAAAAUAAAUCUGCCCACCCUUUCAGUAGUUUCUUUCUGGUAUUUGGCACUUCAAAGGAAGUCUAAACACAGCUGAGUUGAUACUAAAGUCCAUAAAAGAAGAUUCUUUUUUUUUUUUUCAAGAUUUUUAUUUAAAUGAGUACACCAUUUCUGUCUUCAGACACACCAGAAGAGGGCAUCAGAUCCUGUUACACAUGGUUGUGAGUCACCAUGUGGUUGCUGGGAAUUGAACUCAGGACCUCUGGAAGAGCAGUCAGUGCUCUUAACCACUGACCCAUCUCUCCAGCCUAGAAAGAAGAUUCUAAACAUUGUUUACCCAUGAGUCAAAAAGAAUGUGUGGAUCUAGAGAGAGAUGUGUAAGAAAGAAGGAAGUGCUGGAGAGAGAGAAGGAGAAACGAAAAGUGUCAGGGGUGUUUUGUUUAUGUUUUUUGCUUUAUUUGGAGACAGGCUCAUAUAGCCCAUGAUGGCCUAGAACUCUGUAGCCAAGGUUAGCCUUGAACUUUUGGUCCUUUUGCCUCCAUGUAUAGACUCCUGGCAUUUCAGGCAUGAACCAACAUAGCCAGUUCAUGCAGAACUGAUUGAUGAUAGGACCCUAUCUCCCCAGCAAGCCCCAGUCAAAAUACCUUAUUUUAAAUAUUGACGCAAGUGGAUUUAAAGGGUAACUUUUUUUUUCCCCAAGUUUUGUUGUCACUAUAGAUGGCUCUAUACCAUAACAAAAAUUUUAUAAGCCUGUCUUUCAUUAUACAAGUUUCCUUUAAAUCAUUGGGUGUUUGGGGGUGGCAGAUGACAACACAUGAUGGGGACCCAACCUUUCAACUGAUUAAAUAAAAGUCGAUCUUCCCACAGUCACGAACCAUCUCUGUGUCCACAGGAGUUGUGUGUCUGUUCUAAAUGUAUGAGGGGCAGUUAUGUAAUUUACUACCAACAGAAUUUAUCCUUCAAAUGUCAUGUCGCAACAAUGGGUCACCUCCGUUUGUGGUAGGACACACAGGUGCUUCCUGUUGCCCUGCCCAGGACGAUGUUAACAUCAACCUCAGAGAAGGCCGUUGGACCAGCCUGGAGCCAAAUAGUAGCCACUGUGUCUGUAUUGAGGAGGUAGGGAGAACUGUUUCUUAAAAUGUAUUUAUUUGUUUCUGGUUUUGAGAGAAGAUUAUCACAUUAUAUGGCUCUGGGUAGCCUGAUACUGUGUACCCCAUGCAGGCUGCAAAUCACAGUAACCCAACUUAACUUGACUAACACUGAACCCAGAGGGAAGUACCACUGUGCCCAAGAGCAGGAUUGGAGAGCUAGCCCAGCAUUAAGAGCACACCAAAGGAAUCCAAGCACUCACACAGUGUCUAACAACCGUCUAUAACUCCAGUUCCAAAGGAUCCAACACGCUUUUCUGGCCACUGUGGACACCAGGCAAGCAUGCAGUAUACAGACAUACAUGUAUAAAAAACACCUAUACUCAUAAAAUAUAAACAAAAUUUAAGAGCAAUAAAUCUGAGUGCUUUAUACAACAGUAGUUACUAGUGGUCAGGUAAGUUAUCACAAGUAAGUGUGUCGACCCCUGAGAUAAACUAAGAAAACAAUUCAUGGCAGCCAUAACGGUGCACACUCAUAUCCCAGUAUGAAAGAGGCUGAGGCAGGCUAAUACUGUGAGUUCAGAAGUUCAAUACCAGCUUGGCCAACAUAGUGUAACUCCGUGUCAAAGUAAGAAGGGCUGAGGAUGUAGUUCUCUUGGUAGUGUGUUUGCGUAGCGUGCAUAAAGCCCCAGCACUGUAUAAACAGAGUGUAGCAGUCUGUACCUAUAAUCCCAGCCGCUAAAGGCAAGAUCCAAAGUUCAAGGUCAUUGUCAGACACACACACACACACACACACAGAGACUGUUUCAAACUAUGUGGGGUUGGGCGUGGGAGAAGGAAAGUAGAAUGGUGGGAUGCCAUUCUAAGAAACACCAUGUAACUGUUCUCACAGGCCAUUUGUCUUUUUGUUGCUACUGUUAGAAGGAAGUUUCUGUGUUCUUCAGAUCAAAUAUGUAUGUGUGUAUACAUAAAUAUAUAGAGUACAUAUGUAUUCCAACAUGGGAUCUUCAUUUUCUGCUGGAGGAGUAUGCUACUAUUCUCUUUCGCUUCAAGAAUAUCUUAGCUGAGAUGAGAAAAAUUAAGAUUCUUUAAAGACAUAUUUAUUUUAUGUGUCCGAGUGUUUUAUCUACAUGUAUGUAAAUGCAAGUGCCCUCAGAAGCCAAAAGGUGCUGGUGCUGGCUCCUGAGGCUGCAGUUAGAGUAGUUGUAAGGCAAGGUGUGGGUGCUGGAAACGAAACUGGGUCCUCAACCAGAGCAAUAAGGAAAAGUGAAUGAUUCUUUUAAGCAGGGAGGAACAAUUUGUGUAUUUAUCAUUCCAUUUGCUGAGCUCUUUGCCCAAACAAUAUUUCUAAUACUGUUGGUCACAGUGACACAUGCUUGUCUGUCUGUAGUCCCAAAUUUUCUAGAGACAGAAGCAACAGACCUCUACAGCCCAAGAGUCUGAAGUCUGUCUGGGCAAUAGAACAAGACCCAGAGAGGAGGGAGGGAGAGGAAGAGAGAGAAAGAGCGAGAAAGCAAACCGCAUGUAAGCAUUCUGGACAUGUGUGGGGUUUCUCAUUUCAACCAAUUCUCCCAACUCUCUGGUUAUAUAACCAAGUGUCCUACAGCUCAGUCAAAACUGACGCUGUGACACCAGUUACCAGGGCUUAUCAUCAGACCCCACAGGGUUAGUGGCUCAGUCACACAAGACAACCCUCACUUCAGGUGCUAGUUCCUAGUAUCAGGUCCUCAGGCUACCCCAACUAACAUCCCACGUGGCCAAAGUGAGGUUGUCCUACAACCUCUAGUUUAAAGAUUUGCUAGAACUCAUUAUACAAACAGCAACACUCCUGGUUUAUUACAGAGUCUAACCCUGGAACAACCAAAUGGAAGAACAAGAUGGCCAGGACACUGUGGAGGUGCUGGAGAGGCACGGGGUUUCGGUGUCCUCUCUGGACACAUCACCCUCUGAGCUCAGGUGUGUGGCCUCCAUCCUGGAAGCUUCCAUACCCUGGCAUGUGGGAUACUGAUGGCCAGGCACGUAGACAUGCUUAAUUAUUAACUCCAUCUCCUCCCCUCUUCCUUCCCCGAGGCCAUGGGGUAAGCAAAGCUUCCAGGCCUCUGAUCCAGGUUUGGUGUGUCUGGUCUCCAGUUAUUCCUAAGUUGUUUGGGGCAGGUCAAGAGUCACUCAUUAGAAAGAUACUCUUUUGACCCGGGAAUUCCAAGAGCUUUCAGAAGUCUGUGGACCAGGGACAAUGGCCAAAUAUCAGCACAGGAGGCACACACAUCUGUCAUCUGGAAGUUAUGCGGACCAGAGAGGCUUUGUGUCAGGAAGCAAGGAUAAAGAGCAUGGAUACGUUUCUUAUACAAUAUAUACAGACACACUAUCUUGAAAUAAAGCAAGAAGCAGUCAUCUAGCGCUGGGACUGGAGAGAUGGCUCAGUGGUUAAGGGCCUAGAUUCAGUUCCCAGGACCACGCAGAGGCUCAGUCUGUAACCCUAGUUNNNNNNNNNNNNNNNNNNNNNNNNNNNNNNNNNNNNNNNNNNNNNNNNNUGUAGACCAGGCUGGCCUCGAACUCAGAAAUCCACCUGCCUCUGCCUCCUGAGUGCUGGGAUUAAAGGCGUGCACCACCACACCUGGCUCUCUAUUUUAUUUGUGUGUGUGUGUGUGUGUGUGUCCUUGGCAUGUGGAGGUCAAAUGGUAAUUUUAAGGAGUCAUUUUUUUCCCACCACAUAGGGAUCCCAUUCAGGUGACGAGGUGUCUGUCUUUCCCCACUGAGCCAUCUCACCAGCUAUUGGCUAAGAGUAUGUCAGCACACUACAAACACUUGUUUUAAGAAGGAAAAUCUUUUACUGGGUCUCAUGGCAUAUACUUUUUUUUUUUUUUUGAGACGCGUCUCACUAUGUACUCUGGGUGGCCUCAAACUUGCUAUGUAGACCACACUGGCCUGAAACCCAUGCCUCUUGCCUCUGCUUCCCCGGUGUGGCAUGCACUUUUAAUCGCAGCUCAGAGGCAGAGGCAGGUGGAUCUCUAUGAGUUUGAGGCCAGCCUGGUCUACUUAGUGACUUCCAGGCUAGCCGGGGCUACAAAAAUACAACAAAGAAAUGCUUUCUUUUCAAUUACAGAUAGUGAGUAUGUGCAGGUGAAUGCUGGUGCCCUCAAGGGUCAGAAUCCCCUGGACCUGGAGUUACAGGAGAUUGGGAGCUGCCCUGUGUAGGUCCUGGUACUGAAUGAGGCCUCUGCAAGUGCAGCAGGUACUCUGAACCACUGAGCCAUCUCUCCAGUCCCUGUAAAUACUUUUCAUCUUAACAUCUGGAAGGACCAGCAAGAUAGCUCAGCAGGUAAAGACACCUGCUACCAAGCCACAUGGCAAAAAGAAAACCAACUCCUCCUGAAAAUUGUCAUCUGACCUCCACUUGUGUGCCACGGUGUACACACACAAACACACACACAAGAUAUAACUGGUGUGUUCCUGUGUUUUGUUAGCUGUCUAUCCUCAGAGCUCCUCAGUUUCACACUCUUUCCUUCCCAGCGACUCAGUCCUUCCUGUCUUUCCUGACCUCAGCACUCCGGAAGAAUACUGCUCUUAAUUUGGUAGAAUUGGUACUUUGGUGUUUUUCCAGUGUUUUUUGUUUGUUUGUUUUCAUGAUUAGAUGAAGGUUGGUAUAUUUUUUGCAAGAAUCUCAGAUGUAAUGACCUGUAGGUGAUGUCAAUGUAUUAUUAAUAAGUAUAUCAUUUUCUGUCACCUCCAUAACAAGUUACCACAGAUUUGCUGUCUGAAAGCAACACCCAUUUCUUAUCUCAGCUUCUGGUGGUCAGAACUAUGAGUAACUUGUGCAAUGCUAAAAGUUCCUCUGUGGGUUGGACAGCCUUCUCAUCCAGGUUAGGUACUUGCCCGUUCCUUUCUCUAAGCUACUAGGAGAUAUUUCCAUAGGAUUGCCACAUGACCGCCAUCUACAAAGGCAGCAGCUGUUCCUGCAAGCAGACCUCACACUUUCCCUACUUCUAGACUCAAGUCUGAAAUGUUGCAUAAAGUUGGGCAUAUGGCACAUCCCUGUAAUCCCACCGCCUGGAAGGCAGCUUGAAGUUAAGGACUGCUGCAAAUCUGAGUCCAGCCUAGAGUACAAACUGAGACCACAAUGCGAGACCCUAUUUCAAAGAAAGGAAGAAGAUGGGGAAAGAGGAAGGGAGGGAGGGAAAAUGGUUGUUUUCACUGGUGGUGGUGAGCCACCCAGUGUUGGUGCUGGAACUGAACUUGAGUCCCCGCAAAAGCAGUACAAGCUCUCAACCACUGAGCCGUCUCUGCCACAUGGCUUUAUUUUUUUAUUUAAAAAAACAAACAAACAAACAAACAAAAACCUAAGAAAA